GAUGAAGAACGUAGUGAAAUGCGAUACGUAAUGUGAAUUGCAGAAUUCAGUGAAUCAUCGAAUCUUUGAACGCACAUUGCGCCCGCCAGCACUCUGGCGGGCAUGCCUGUUCGAGCGUCAUUUCAACCAUCAAGCCCCAGGCUUGCGUUGGAGCCCUGCGGCUGCCUCAGCCUCCUAAAAGCAGUGGCGGGCUCGCUAUCACACCGAGUGCAGUAGAUUACUCUUCGCUCAGGGCGUGCAGCGGGUUCCGGCCGUGAAACCCCCUACUUUUAAAGGUUGACCUCGGAUCAGGUAGGAAUACCCGCUGAACUUAAGCAUAUCAAUAAGCGGAGGA
rnacentral:misc_RNA from 1 species